rnacentral:tRNA from 1 species
GCCGUCCUAGCUCAAUUGGUAGAGCACCGUCCUGAAGCGGCGGGGGUAGCCAGUUCAACUCUGGCGGGCGGCA